AACGAACGCUGGCGGUGUGGAUAAGGCAUGCAAGUCGAACGGGUUAUCUAGCUUUUUCGGAUAACCAGUGGCGAAAGGAUGCGUAAUACGUGGGUUAUCUGUCUUUGAGAUGGGAUAACUUGUCGAAAGAUAAGCUAAUACCCAAUAUGACCACGAGCACUUCGGUGCUUGAGGUAAAAGGAUGGGGAAUCGUAAGAUCCUAGUGCUCGAAGGUGAGCUCACGGCCUA
rnacentral:rRNA from 1 species